rnacentral:rRNA from 1 species
CCUACGGGAGGCUGCAGUGGGGAAUAUUGCACAAUGGGGGAAACCCUGAUGCAGCGACGCCGCGUGAGUGAAGAAGUAUUUCGGUAUGUAAAGCUCUAUCAGCAGGGAAGAAAAUGACGGUACCUGAUUAAGAAGCCCCGGCUAACUACGUGCCAGCAGCCGCGGUAAUACGGAGGAUGCGAGCGUUAUCCGGAGUUAUUGGGUUUAAAGGGUGCGCAGGCGGAAGCGGCAAGGCAGCGGUAAAAUUGCGGGGCUCAACCUCGCCGAGCCGGUGAAACUGCUCUUGGAACUGCAUGGCUGGAGUACAGGAGGGGCAGGCGGAAUUCCUAGUGUAGCGGUGAAAUGCGUAGAUAUUAGGAGGAACACCGGUGGCGAAGGCGGCUUACUGGACUGUAACUGACACUGAGGCUCGAAAGCGUGGGGAGCAAACAGGAUUAGAUACCCUAGUAGUC